rnacentral:rRNA from 1 species
AUUGAACGCUGGCGGCAGGCCUAACACAUGCAAGUCGAGCGGGGUUUUCGGACCUAGCGGCGGACGGGUGAGUAAUGCGUAGGAAGCUACCCGAUAGAGGGGGAUACCAGUUGGAAACGACUGUUAAUACCGCAUAAUGUCUACGGACCAAAGUGUGGGACCUUCGGGCCACAUGCUAUCGGAUGCGCCUACGUGGGAUUAGCUAGUUGGUGGGGUAAAGGCUCACCAAGCCAACGAUCUGUAGCUGGUCUGAGAGGACGACCAGCCACACUGGAACUGAGACACGGUCCAGACUCCUACGGGAGGCAGCAGUGGGGAAUUUUGGACAAUGGACGCAAGUCUGAUCCAGCCAUUCCGCGUGCAGGAUGAAGGCCCUCGGGUUGUAAACUGCUUUUGUACGGAACGAAAAGGUUUGUCUUAAUACGAUGAGCUCAUGACGGUACCGUAAGAAUAAGCACCGGCUAACUACGUG